UACGAAGGCAGCAGUGGGGAAUAUUGCACAAUGGGCGAAAGCCUGAUGCAGCUAUGCCGCGUGUAUGAAGAAGGCCUUAGGGUUGUAAAGUACUUUCAUCGGGGAGGAAAAAACAAAACUAAUAAUUUUAUUUCUUGACGUUACCCGAAAAAGAAGCACCGGCUAACUCCGUGCCAGCAGCCGCGGUAAUACGGAGGGUGCUAGCGUUAAUCAGAAUUACUGGGCGUAAAGAGCACGUAGGUGGUUUUUUUAAGUCAGAUGUGAAAUCCCUGGGCUUAACCUGGAACUGCAUUUUGAAACUGAAAUACUAGAGUAUCGUAGAGGGAGGUAGAAUUCUAGGUGUAGCGGUGAAAUGCGUAGAUAUCUGGAGGAAUACCUGUGGCGAAAGCGGCCUCCUAAACGAAUACUGACACUGAGGUGCGAAAGCGUGGGGAGCAAACGAGGGAUUAGAUACCCGU
rnacentral:rRNA from 1 species